rnacentral:tRNA from 1 species
GGAAGCUGUGCCUGAGUUCUAAGGACUACUUUGAUAGAGUACGCCACAGGGGCUAAUCUCCCCUCACUUCCU